rnacentral:rRNA from 1 species
AGAGUUUGAUCCUGGCUCAGGACGAUUUCUGGCGGCGCGCCUAACACAUGCAAGUCGAACGAGUGAGAGAGAGCUUGCUUUCUCGAGCGAGUGGCGAACGGGUGAGUAACGCGUGAGGAACCUGCCUCAAAGAGGGGGACAACAGUUGGAAACGACUGCUAAUACCGCAUAAGCCCACGACCCGGCAUCGGGAAGAGGGAAAAGGAGCAAUCCGCUCUGAGAUGGCCUCGCGUCCGAUUAGCUAGUUGGUGAGGUAACGGCCCACCAAGGCGACGAUCGGUAGCCGGACUGAGAGGUUGAACGGCCACAUUGGGACUGAGACACGGCCCAGACUCCUACGGGAGGCAGCAGUGGGGAAUAUUGCACAAUGGGGGAAACCCUGAUGCAGCGACGCCGCGUGGAGGAAGAAGGUCUUCGGAUUGUAAACUCCUGUUGUUGAGGAAGAUAAUGACGGUACUCAACAAGGAAGUGACGGCUAACUACGUGCCAGCAGCCGCGGUAAAACGUAGGUCACAAGCGUUGUCCGGAAUUACUGGGUGUAAAGGGAGCGCAGGCGGGCGAUCAAGUUGGAAGUGAAAUCCAUGGGCUCAACCCAUGAACUGCUUUCAAAACUGGUCGUCUUGAGUAGUGCAGAGGUAGGCGGAAUUCCCGGUGUAGCGGUGGAAUGCGUAGAUAUCGGGAGGAACACCAGUGGCGAAGGCGGCCUACUGGGCACCAACUGACGCUGAGGCUCGAAAGUGUGGGUAGCAAACAGGAUUAGAUACCCUGGUAGUCCACACCGUAAACGAUGAUUACUAGGUGUUGGGAGAUUGACCCUCCUCAGUGCCGCAGUUAAACACAAUAAGUAAUCCACCUGGGGAGUACGACCGCAAGGUUGAAACUCAAAGGAAUUGACGGGGGCCCGCACAAGCAGUGGAGUAUGUGGUUUAAUUGGACGCAACGCGAAGAACCUUACCAAGUCUUGACAUCCUCUGACGAAGGUAGAAAUACGUUUUCUCUUCGGAGCAGAGAGACAGGUGGUGCAUGGUUGUCGUCAGCUCGUGUCGUGAGAUGUUGGGUUAAGUCCCGCAACGAGCGCAACCCUUAUGGUCAGUUACUACGCAAGAGGACUCUGGCCAGACUGCCGUUGACAAAACGGAGGAAGGUGGGGAUGACGUCAAAUCAUCAUGCCCUUUAUGACUUGGGCUACACACGUACUACAAUGGCGUUAAACAAAGAGAAGCAAGACCGCGAGGUGGAGCAAAACUCAGAAACAACGUCCCAGUUCGGACUGCAGGCUGCAACUCGCCUGCAUGAAGUCGGAAUUGCUAGUAAUCGUGGAUCAGCAUGCCACGGUGAAUACGUUCCCGGGCC